rnacentral:lncRNA from 1 species
GAACCAGUCCCUUAACCUUUAGAGCAGUUCUUCCAGGUGAUUAUUCUUGACUGCUCUGUGAACUGAAGACAAGGACGAGAUUCAGAGAAACAGAGAGGUUGCAUCCAUUUCUCAGGGCCCAGACGGUGACACUAAGGAUGAAGACCUAGCUCUGUUAUCCUUCAGGCUUUAUACCCUUCCUGUACUGGUUCCAAUCCAUAGCAAGAAACCACCCUUGAACAGUAAAUAACACGAUCUUGGGGUUCAUGGUGUGUUCAGAUAUCCCGCAACAGCAAGUCAUUCAGACGAUCAGUGCUGCUCUCUUAGCAGGGGACACUCCUCAAGCAGGACUGGAUUAAUCCAUGGGAGCGAGCAGCUGAGCCGUGAGAAGCCAGAAAGCCUGAUGUGGUCCACCCCUUUCCCUGGAAUCACUCCUUUCCAUGUGGGCUGAAUGCCCACGUGCAGCUGUCUGAUCUCAGGAUUUCUAUCAUCCAGAGUAUUCUCUGGAAGCUCCAGCGGGGUUGGCCCAGCUCCUGGCUUCCUCUCCUGGCAACAGCCUCAGGUCUUUUUGAUGAAUUGAAUGAGAAGUGGAGCCCUCAGGUCCAGUCCUGAUCCUGCAGGUGAGGGGUGAUGGAGGAAGAGGCGGCUCAGGUCAAACACUGACCAUCGACCUAAUGACCACCACUCCAGGGCUCUGCUGGAAAGAAGAGCCCUAGACAGGAUGCCUAAAGUGGGGAGGCGGGGCUG